rnacentral:lncRNA from 1 species
UUCAUCAGAAUGGUUACCGAUUAACCAAUCAACAUCAGGGAAAAGGGUCUUAUCAUUGGGUGUGAUUGCAUCUUCCUAAAGGAAUAACAAAACAAGACGAAAUGUUUUGUGAAUCAUUGUAGAGCUACUGCGUGGGCAGGACAUGGCGGGAGGGUACAGGCUCUGGAGUCACACAGCGCAGAGCCGCAGUUCACCUGCUGCAUGACCAAGAGCGGGGAAGAGCGGGGAAGUCAAUGUAUCCUCCCUAGGUCUGCCUAGAGGGCAAGAAAUGCUGGCAACUUUUAGGGAAAUCACCGGAGAAACUAACAGCACUUUUCUGAGUGCUAAUCGCCUUUGGAUCAUUUAAAAGCUGAUUUUUCCACAGGCAUAAGAAGGAGCUCCAGGAGAGACGGCCACGGAACGGUUUCACCUCUGGCAGAGCAUGGGAGCAAGCAAUGGCUUCGGAGGAAGUGAAUGGAAGGCAGAGAGGUCUGAAGGUGAUUUAAGGGCGUAAUACAACACAGGGGUCUAACCUCACAGGCCUUUCAAUCUAGGAAACCAAGUCUAUGAAUAGACAGAGAAUUUACAUAUGUAAAUACACGAAAUUCUUUACCAUUAGACUAUUACCUUUUGUAAACUGUCAGAAAGUGAUUAAGAUCCCCCUGAAUAGGCACUCUAACCAUUCUGACAAAUUCUGCAGUUAAGCUGAGGACAGCUUGCUUUUAUGAUUUAAGAACUUUAAAUAGGCACCCUACCCUUUCUGAUAAUCAGCAGGCCAUCACUAAUUACUGAAAUCAACAGUUUCAAUAGCAAUUCUGUCAGUAAAAACUGGAAAGAGAGAGGGGGAAGAGAGACCACACAACCAUUGAAAAUCUUCUUAAUUUUCCAGUGGUAGGAUGAGUCCCCAAGAUAAGUGAACAGAAGUUAUUCCCUGAUCAUAAUGGGGAAGACAUUCUGAGAACACUCACUCUUCAAGGCUAUUCUUUCUAACAGCAAAACUAUAACACAAGAAUGUUUUACAGACAUGGUAAGUAAAAAACUAAAACUGAAAUUCUGUCUCUCUCUGGUUCUUCAAUAAGCAUAUGUGCUUCUACUUACAUAGAUGUUAAAAUACUGAAAAUAGUAUUGUUCAAGGGUAUACGUAUGAUCUACAGAAAUAUCAAACCUUUGGGACUAUUUAUUCUUGAUUCCCACUCAUUCUAGAUUUAAGUUUGCCCAUCUGUCUCUUUAAAUGGCGUGAAUAAAUUAAAGCAUAACUGACAUUUAGUAAAGACCAUAAUCAUAUUUUAUAUUAUCUUGCCAACAGCACUAGAUAUCAAAGCCCCACCUGUUUUAUGAAGUUUUUUUGUUUUGUUUUGUUUUGUUGUUGUUGUUUUUGAGACGGAGUCUUGCUCCGUCACCAGGCUGGAGUGCAGUGGCGCGAUCUCGGCUCACUGCAACCUCCGCUUCCCAGGUUCAAGCAAUUCUACUGCCUCAGCCUCCUGAGUAGCUGGGAUUACAGGCACCCGCCACCACACCCAGCUAAUUUUUGUAUUUUUAGUAGAGAUGGGGUUUCACCAUGUUAGUCAGGCUGGUCUCGAUCUCGUGACCUCGUGAUCUACCUGCUUUGGCCUCCCAAAGUGCUGGGAUUACAGGCAUGAGCCACCACGCCCAGCCGUUGUUUUUCUUUGAGACGGAGUAUCGCUCUUGUUGCCUAGGCUGGCGUGCAGUGGUGCGAUCUCGGCUCACUGCAACCUCAGCCUCCCUGGUUCAAGAGAUUCUCCUGCCUCAGCCUCCCGAGUAGCUAGGAUUACAGGCAUGCGCCAUCUCACCUGGCUAAUUUUGUAUUUUUAGUAGAGACGGGGGUUUCUCCAUGUUGGUCAGGCUGGUCUUGAACUCCCGACCUCAGGUGAUGUGCCCACCUCGGCCUCCCAAAGUGCUGGGAUUACAGGCGUGAGCCACCACACCCGGCUUUUAUGAACUUUUCACUGGCAUUUUGAACACAGCAAAUUCCAAUAUUCCUGUUUCAUAUACAGGUUCACACAAUUAAGACAAUUUGUGAUCACCACCAGGCUGUUGUUAUAAACAGGUGUUUUGUUUUUAGUUUUUUAACACUCUCUUGCUUGCAAUCAAAUGAGGUUUUUGAAAGAAAGAAAAAAAGUUAUAUUCUACGCCUGGCCUUUGACUUUCUAGAUUGUACCUGUUCGUGGAAACCACUCAACUGCAGCUGGAAGGAAAUCAUUCACUAGAAAAUCCACAAACACCAUGUGCACGUCAACGGAACCACCCUCAUUCUGGCCAUGCUCCUCCAAGGCAGAAAGCAUGACAGAACUCCUGGCAUUUAUUUAACACUAGAAUAAACAUGGCUAUUUUAGCACCGAGACUGAAGGUUGGGAGGUAACAAGGAAAAAACCUACACACUUGAUUAGAAUACAGAACUCUCAACAGCAGGCCUUUCCUGACUAAGUGCUCGGGGUAGGGUCUUCCCCAGGUCAGAUGACCCUACAGAAAAGUCUGAUGCAGGCUGCUGGGAAACCUCAGCUAAAGAACUAGAGCCUCCGCCCGUUCUCCAAGGGGCACCCUCAGCAGCCAGCUCUUCCCUAGGGUCUGGGCUUACACAGAUGGCCUACUCACUGCUGCUUGAAUUUCCUACCCAAAGGUGCUUUUUCACCUGGGGACACAUGGAAUUUUGAAAUCAACCACACCACUACUGCUUUAGCUUUGAUCAUUAACUUCAUAGCCAAGUUUAGAGCCCGAUUCUGGGACAUGUGUGAGAGUCUAUAGUCUACACACAUAUUUGCAGAGCCUCCCGAGUGCACUGGCUAGAUUACCAACAUUCCUCAAACCUGAGGUUUUGAAAACAUUUCCUAAUGUAAUGUAUGAGUGGACAAGCAACUGCCAAUCACUGUAAAACAAAGCAAAGAGUAAAUGUACAAGCAAAGAGUAAGCACCCUGGCCCGGCGCAGCGGCUCAUUGUCAUCCCAGCCCUGUGGGAGGCCGAGGUGGGAGGAUCACUUGAGCCCCAGAGUUUGAGACCAGCCUGGGCAACAUAGGAAGACCCUGUUUCAACAAAAAACAAACACAAAAUUAGUCAGGCAUGGUGGUGUGCACCUGCGGCCCCAGCUACUCGGAGGCUGAGGUGGGAAGAUCACUCAGUCCAGAAGGUUGAGGCCACAGUGAGCCGUGAUCACAUCAGUGUACUCCAGCCUGGGCAACAGAUUGAGACCCUGUCUCCAAAAAAAUAAAAGGGGGGCUGCGUGUGGUGGCUCAUGCCUAUAAUCCCAGCACUUUGGGAGGCCGAGGCAGGUGGAUCACUUGAGGCCAGAGCCAGAUCAGCCUGGCCAACAUGGCAAAACCCCGUCUCUACUAAAAAUACAAUUAGUCAGGCGUAGUGGUGGUGCGCGCCUGUGGUCCUAGCUACCCGGGAGGUUGAGGCACAAGAAUCCCUUGAACCUGGGAGGUGGAGGCUGCAGUGAGCCGAGAUCACGCCACUGUACCACUCCAGCCUGGGUGAUAGUUCUCAAAAAAAAAAAAAGAGUGAGGCCAACAGAAAACAUAAAAAUAGUUUUGGAAUAUUUUUCUACUUAUUUUUGAUUUUCUAUUUCUAUGAAAUGAUAUGCCUGAGAUUUGUUUCAAAAUAACAGUGGGAGCUGCUUGAGGGUAAGUGAUAGAGAAAAGAAUAAUCCUUGCAGCUGGCUGGGUGACUGCAUGGAGUACCUACAUUCCUCUCUCUACUUUUGUAUAUUCCUGACAUUCUCCAUGAUGAAAAGUCAACAUUUUUUCAUCUCAUAAAACAACAUUCUGCCCUCUGGCAGAUGAGGCUCUGUGACCCAGUCACACCCAGAGGGAGAGGCCACUCCCACACCACCCUGGGAAAGUGAGGCCACGCCCACAGAGCCACUAUACUAUAACCUGUCCUAGGACGGCUCCUGAGGGCUACUCAUGACUUUUUUCCCAUUAGGGAGUCAUUUUCUCUGUCCUCAGUACCAGGAGAAGCAAGCUACUCUUGACCAAGAUCUGACUGAUCUGAGUGCACUUUAACCCCACGGUCACAUGGCUCUAGUGCCCAGGGCUGGCUGACAGCGUGGAAUAGAUGUGCUGUCAGGCCCAGACCCCCGGGUGUCUUGAUGUCUGUAGCCCACCCUGGCCCAGCCUCUGUUCUGUUCUCUUCUCCAGCGGCGGCCACUACACAACACCCCCAGCCUCCUCCUCAGCACCUGCCACCACCCUCGAACCUGCUGCACACACUGGCUGUGUGUCUGCCUCCCACCCCUUCCCAUGACCAUAAAGGCAGGGGCUCUUGUCACUGUUAAAUCGUCAGCACCUAAGAGUGCCCGGCAGGUAGGGGACACUCAAAUAUGUGAUAAAUGUGUACAGCUGUUUUUUCUCCCAUUGGAUGCAUCUCUUGUAGUGCUCAGAAUUCUUGCUGAAAUGAAGCAUAUCUGAAGUAGGACCUUUUCGAAAAGCAUUAUGGCAAUAUGUAUUGAAAAUCUUUAAAGUCCAGGUAGGAAAAAUAUUUUUUAAGUGGACUAUGAUUUACACACAAAGAUUUAUGUAGUGUAAUUUGUAAUCUGAAAACAGAUGGUCAAGAACAGAAGAGCUGAGUAAAUAAUUCUGCCUUCACCGCUUGCCGUACACAUGGCUGACCUAACCUCCCCAAGGGUACCUCGGUUUCCUCGCCUGUAAAAUGGGGAUAAUAAGAGAAUCAACCUCCCAGUGCUGUUGUGCGGAUUAUGGUAAGUUACUGUACAUAAAAUACAUUUACCUUUAGAAAGGCAUCCACACACAGCACUGGAUGACUGUCAGUUUUUAUUACUAUACAGCUGGCCCUUGAACAAAGUGGGGGUUGGGGGUUCUGAACCCCUACAGAUGCAGUUAAGAAUCUAUGUAUAACUUUUGGAGACAGAGUCUCACUUGCGUCGCCCAGGCUGGUGUGCAGUGGCACAAUCUUGGCUCACCGCAGUCUCAACCUCCCAAACUCAGGUGAUCCCCCAACCUCAGCCUCCCGCGUAGCUGGGACUACAGGUGCAUGCCACCAUGUCCAGCUAAUUUUUUUUUUUUUUUUAGUAGAGAUGGGAUUUUGCCACGUUGCCCUGGCUGGUCUCGCACUCCUGGACUCAAGUGAUCCUCAUGCCUUGGCCUCCCAAAGAGCUAGGAUUGCUGGUGUGAGCCACUGUACCUGGCCCAUGUAUAACUUCUGACUCCCCCAAAACUGACUACUCAUAGCCUAUUGUUGACCAGAAGACUUAUCAAUAAUAUAAACAUAAAAGUCGAUUAAAACACAUUUUGUGUAUUAUAUACUAUAUCCUUAAAAUAAAGCUAGAGAAAAUGUUAUUAAGAAAAUCGUGGCUGGCUGCAGUGGUUCACACCUGUAAUCACAGUACUUUGGGAGGCCGAGGUGGGUGGAUCACUUGAGGUCAGGAGUUCGAGACCAGCCUGGCCAACAUGGUGAAACCCCAUCUCUACCAAAAAUACAAAAAAUAGCUGGGCAUGAUGGUGGGCACCUGUAAUCCCAGCUACUCGAGAGGCUGAACUGCUUGAACCUGGAAGGCAGAGGUUGCAGUGAACCUAGAUCACACCACUGCACUCCAGCCUGGGCGACAGAGCAAGACUCCGUCUCAAAAAAAAAAAAAAAAAGAAAAGAAAAGAAAAUCAUAAGAAAGAGAAAAUUUACUAUUCAUUGAGUGGAAGUGGACCGACCAUCACAAAGAUCUUCAUCCCCAUCCUCUUCACACUGAGCAGGCUGAGGAGGAGAAGGAAGAGAAGGGACGGGUCUUGCUGUCUCAGGUGUGGAAGACAUGGAGGAGGUGGAAGGGAGGCAGGAGAGGCAGGCACAUUCAGUGUAACUUCAUGAAAUACAUCAUAAUUUCUGUCUGCUUUACUUUUUAGUUUCUCUAAAAACGUUUCUAUCAGUGCCAAUCCUUCUUCCAUCAUUUCCUUUAGUUUCAGUGCAUAUCGCAGAAGAGUCUAUGGCAUAAAAGAAGUCAAAUGCAGUCUGGAAUAAUCAGGGCCCUUCUGCCACACUGUCUGUUAAUUUGCUUUCUGGCACUGUCUCUUUUACAUAUUCUUCCUCAUCAUCUGGCGCUGGGUUGGCAGCACUCAUCUCCAUCAGGUCGUCUGUAGUUAAUUCCUCUGGAGUGGAGUCUAUUAGCUCUUGAAUUUCUCAAGAUCCGUAUCUUGCACCCUUCAUCUCCUGCCUUUGUUUGCUAUAUCCACAGUCUCUUUCAUGAUUUCCUUGACUGGCUCUGUUGUAAAUCCUGUGAAGUCAGGCAUGACACUUCCACCCUUCAUCGCCCACCUUUGCCAUAUCCACAACUCUUUCAUGAUUUCCUUGACUGGCUCUGCUAUAAAUCCUGUGAAGUCAGGCCAACAUCUGGACACUAUUUUCUCUGGCGGGAAUUUGUUUCAGGCUCGGUAGCUUUCAUGGCCUUUUCUGUAGCAAUGACGGUGUCUUCAAUGGUAAAAUCCUUGCAGGAUUUUCAUGAUAUUCUCUCUUGUAGUUCUCUUCCACAGCAUCCAAUCCUUUCCAUUGAAUACUGUGCAUAAUGAGGCUUAAAGGUCCUUGUAACUCUCUGAUCUAGAGGCUGAAAAGAGAAGCUGUGUUUGGGGUCAAGCAGACCACAUCAACACCAUUGGUGUUAACUCAAGAGGUUCUGGGUGGCCAGGAGCAUUGUCCAAUAUCAACAGAACUUUAAAAGGUAGUCCCUUACUAACCAGGUACUUCCUGACUUCAGAGACAAAGCCUUGAUGAAACAACACUAGAGUUCUUGCUGCCCAGGCCUUCUUGUACAAUCAAGUGACUGGCAGCUGGUGUUUCUCUUUUCCCUUCAAGACCUGGGCUUAGCAGCUUUACAGAUAAGGGCAGUCCUGAUCAUAAAUCUGAUUCCAUUUGCACAGAACAGCAGACCUAGCCUGUCCCUUCCUGCCUUAAAUUCUGGGGCUUACUUCUCUCCUUUUUGGCAUUUUUUCCAGAAUAGGGUACUUUCAUCUGCAUUAAAAACCUGUUCAGGCAGACAUCCUUUCUCCUUGAUGAUUUUCUUUUUACAAUGUUUUAUUUUUUGUAGAGAUAGUUGGGGGGGGGGGGCGGGUGUCUUGCUAUAUUGCCCAGACUGGUCUUGAACUCCUGGCCUCAAGCGAUCCUCCAGCCUUGGGCUCCCAAAGUGCUAAGAUUACAGGCAUGAGCCACCACACCUGGCCUCUCUGGUGAUUUUCUUAAUGGCAUCUGGGAACUCAUCUGCUGCCUCUUGGUCAGCUAAAGCUACUCCUCCUGUUAUCUAGAUAUUUUUACAACCCAAGUCACUUUCUAAAACUAUCAAAUCAUCUUUUGUUGGCAUUAAAUUCUCCAGCUUUAGAACCUUCACCUUCUUUCUGCUUUGUCAUAUAAUGACUUCACCUUUUCUCAAAUCAUAUUAGAGUCUGUAUGUAUGCUUUUCUUGUAGCAAUCCUGCAACCAUAUCAAAGCUGCAUUCUAAAUAUGAGAUGAAUACACCCGCCUGCUGGUGUACCUGCAGUGACAGUUUCACAAAUUUCUUUCCCUCUCUUGCUUUUUUUUUUUUUUUUAACAACAGUUCUUACACUGGAUUCAUUUAUCUUGAAAUGGUGGGCAACUGCAGCUGCAGACUGAAAUCUAUAAGACAUAUCAAGGAACUCAGCCUUUUCUUCUAAUGCCGUAACUUUUCUCUGCUUCUUGGGAGACUUCCAGCAUCACCAGUGGCAUUGUGUAUGGGUCCUGCAGUGCUACUCGAGGUUUACAGUAUUGCACCAAACACGUUGAAAAAUACCAGAGAUCACGUUUCACUAGGCUAUGCAACUGACUGGAGGAAUGAGCUGGUGCCACAGAGGUGAUCGGUGUCACACAGCAUUUUAAUUGGGCACUUGAAACACUUGGGCUCACUGCAGUAGGAACGAGCAGUGACCAGGAAAUUUUACAGUAGCACUGAAUGGACUACAGUUAGUUUCAUGCAAUUAUGAUUCAAUACUGCAUCUUUACAUUUGCGUUUCUCUUGACAGAGAAUGACACCACAUACAGUCUGGGUUUGUGUAAGUUUUGAUAGAUUUUAACUUCUUAUAAUAGAUUUGUAUGUAUUUCAUGGUUGUAAAUGGUAAAAUAGACUAGUAUGUACGUAUAUUUAAUGCAUUCAGGACAUAUCUAACUUUUUCUGAAUUUUUUUCAAUAUUUCUAGGUUAUGCAUUUCAUCUGUCAGUUUUUUCAAAUUGUUGCAAAUUUCCAAUAAAAUUUUCCAAUGUAUUUAUUGAAAAAAAUCUGUAUAAAACUGGCCCACAAAGUUCAAUCCCGUGUUGUUCAAGGGCCAGCUGUACUUGUGUUGUUGUUACCUACAAUUCAAUGGAACAUUGUACAGCCAUUAACAACAUGCUUGCAAAUAAUUGUCAAAGACUUCAGAAAAUGCCUAGAAUGGGAUGUUAAAUGAGCAGAAGCAGCCAGGGUCAAAGUUCCGUAUACACCAUGGUCACAAAUAUUAUUUUUUAAAACUGUAAAUGUGUACAUAUUGAUUUCCCUAAAUAAAAGAGAGUGAUUAUCUCUGGGUAGGGGCAUUAAGAAAAGUGAGACUGUUUCAAGUCCUAAAAAAGGGAAAUGUCAAGGGUAAAGAGGACUGGCCCAAAGAUAUGAGAGAAAUUACGUGGGACUGCACAGUCUGCCCUACACAUCAUCUGUGUGCCCGGAGGUGAUCCCGCCAGGGGGCAUCUCGCUUCCGUGCUGGGCACCUGGCUGCCUCCACUUGCUCAUGGGGGUGCUCCAAGAAGCCUUCUCAGAGGCCCCAAGUAGGGUCAAGCCCCUCCUUUGAGUCCCCACAGCCCUCUAAACCUUCUAUCCCAGCCCUGGCACAGCCACCGCCCUUUGUGGCUCAUCUGCAGGUGUCCCCAUCCCUGGCGCAGUCCUGGCAGGCAGGGUACUAACUGCUUGCUGACUGAACGAGCAGCCUUUGGGAGGCCUUGGAGAAGACUUCGCAAAAUGCACGGGGCACAGCCCCCACCUCAAGGCUGCACGGGAGCACCCCACACAAGAUACAAACGGCACCAACAAACUCAGGGAGAGACAGCACUUCUGCCUGGAGGUCAGCGCCCUUCAGUCAGUUUAACCAGAAGGUUCUGUGAAGUCUAGUUUCAUGUCUCUUUUUCUCUUCUCUAAUUUCAGAGCACUUAGAUUAAUGUGAAGGUUUACUAUCAGCAUGUCUGCUUGACCUAUACAAAGAGACACAUUCAUUACAGCAAUUCCCACUGGGAGCUAAGCCAUGCUGAGAUCAAGGGCAUGCGUAAUAAAGACGGUACCUCUAACUGAGUUUGUGGUCCAUACAUGUCCCAGAUUUUUCUUCUUCGGACAUCAAUCCCUCUGCCUGGAUGCUGAAAAAAUUAAUUUUAGAAAUCAAAGGUUAACCUUAGUACUUCAUAAUAAGUUAGCAAGAACACAUUAAAGUUCUGCAGGCACUGCCAGCAGGACGAAGGGCAAGAGAAGAGCUUCCUGCCAGCAACUCAUACCCAUCCUGAUGUGUCCAGCGCA